GUUAAAUAAUUUAUUAUUUUUAUAUUAAUAAAAAUAAUUUAGGUUAGAGUAUUGUUUAGAAUAAAUUUGUUUAAUUAUAGAUUACUAGUAUAGUCAUAGAAUGUUGAAAUAAAUUGAAAAUUUAAACUUAAAGAAGAAAUAUUAAUUUUUUGUACCUUUUGUAUCAGGGUUUACUAAAAUGAUAUUAAUUAUUUAAUUUUCCCGAAUUAAAAAGAGUUAGGAAGUUAUGAAUUUUAUUGUUGAAAAAAUAUUUAAAAUAUCUUUCUGGUAGUGAAAUGCUAUUCGUUUUUUAAUAUAUCUGGUUUUCUAAGAAAAUUAUUUAAUUUUAUUACUUUAUUCAUUAAUUUAAAUAUUUAAUUUAAUGUUAAUUGUAUUAAAUAUCUAAGGGGAUAAGCUUUUAGAUAAAUUUUUAAAAAUUUUUUUUUAUUGAUCUGAAAUGUAGAAUUAGAAGUAUUUAUCAUUAGGAGUGUGUUGUAGCUCAUUUUUUAAUAAUUUUAUUUAUAUAGUUUUUAAUUAUUUAUUAGAAUUUUUUUAUUAAUUUUAUUUAUUAAGUAAUAAUGGUAGAAUUAGUAUAUUUUUAAGUAAAAUAUAUUGAGAAUGUAAGGUAGUUGUAAGGAACUCGGCAAAUUUUCUUUCCGCCUGUUUAUUAAAAACAUCGCUUUUUGAUUAUAAUUUAAGGUCUCACCUGCCCAAUGAGGAUUUUAAUGGCCGCGAUAUUUUGAUCGUGCGAAGGUAGCAUAAUCAUUAGUUUUUUUAUUGAAAGCUGGAAUGAAUGGUAGGACGAGAAAGAAUCUGUCUCAUUAUUAUUUAUUUAGAAUUUUAUUUUUAAGUCAAAAAGCUUAAAUUUUGUUUAAAGACGAGAAGACCCUAUAGAGUUUUAUAUAUUUAAUUUGAUUGUAUUGAGGUAUUGACUUUAUUUUCACUUUACAAUAUAUUUGGUUGGGGUGACAAAAAAAUUAAGCAAACUUUUUUUUCUUUUUAAUACUUAUUGGUAGAUAAAUGAUCCACAAAUUGUGAUUAAAAGAUUAAAUUACCUUAGGGAUAACAGCGUAAUUCUUUUUUAGAGUUCUUAUCGAAAAAAGAGAUUGCGACCUCGAUGUUGGAUUAAAGUUUAAUUUUGGUGUAGAAGCUAGAAUAUUUAGUCUGUUCGACUAUUAAAACUUUACAUGAUCUGAGUUUAGACCGGUGUGAGCCAGGUCGGUUUCUAUCUUAAAUAGAAGUAAAUAUUUUAGUACGAAAGGACCAAAUAUUUAAUAAAUUAUUUAGUUAUUGAAUAUCAUUA
rnacentral:rRNA from 1 species